rnacentral:rRNA from 1 species
UACGUAGGGUGCGAGCGUUGUCCGGAAUUAUUGGGCGUAAAGAGCUCGUAGGCGGUUUGUUGCGUCGGCUGUGAAAUCCCGAGGCUCAACCUCGGGUCUGCAGUCGAUACGAGCAAACUAGAGUGUUGCAGGGGAGACUGGAAUUCCUGGUGUAGCGGUGAAAUGCGCAGAUAUCAGGAGGAACACCGGUGGCGAAGGCGGUUCUCUGGGCAUGAUCUGACGCUGAGGAGCGAAAGUGUGGGGAGCGAACAGG